GCCACUCCUAUGCUCUGAUCCCUGUUUUUUUUUUUCCACCAAAAUGACAAUAACAAUCUUUUAAUUAUACAAAAUAAAGUACCUAAUAAAGAUUUCUGUUUCAAAUCAGCCUUCCAAUCCUACGCGCAAAGGUUUUGUUCCAUAGUAGUUAGGGCAUAGGGGCAAUAAAUGAUAAGAGAGAUGUUUAUCAACUGGCUGGAUUAAGAAAUGACAUGGUAAGGACUUGCAUCUUGUUGAAGUGUGGAAAAACAAUGAUAAAAAAAUUUGAAAAUAUAUUCAUACACAUCUGAUUUAGAGCAUAAACAAAAAAAAUAAAUUGUUCAAAAUUCCGAUUGACAACUCAACUAAAAUUUAUCUCAAGGUUAAUAGAUGCCAGCAGCUAUUGUACUCUCCACCAUCAAGAAAAAACACUCGUAUGGUUUGCACCUAAAAAAAGGAACAAUAGAUUUGGAUAUAGCAUUAGCAUCUAACAAGAAGUUUAGGAUGUAAUGAGAACAUUAAAAUGUGGUUAAUUCCAACAUUUCAACUAGAUCACGUGUGAAGGUUUAGACCAACUUAGCAUGACAAGUUAUUAGAAUUAGAAGUGGACUGAUGUAAUCCACCAAUUACUCACAGAACAUAACCAAUUCAUGUUACUCAACAUAUAAAUUGAUUGCCAACUUAAAAUACUAGGCAUGAGAUAGCCAGGAAGUGUAACCUAGCAUUUUACAGCAUAAAAUCCAAAUUAAAAAAAAAAAAAAGGUACAGCAAUAUAGUUAUUAAAAUGGCUUGGCUAUGUACCUACAUUGUUAGAAAAAUGACAACAACCCAAUCUAUUUAGAGUUACGGUGAACUUUCUUGUCCAUGUACUAUCAGGUUUGCCAAAACUAUAAUAAUAUGCUUCCUGCAACUCUGAAAUACAAAUUACAAAUUUCAGCUGACGUAGUUGAUACAAGCCUUACGAAUGAUGCCUACACAAUCAAAGGAGAUACUCCCUCAAUAGCUGGGGAAAAAUAUGGAUACUAGGCAUCAAUCACAAGUACAAUACAUGCUAAAAGGAACAUGAUACACAUAAACAUAUCAAAAUCAAAAUGCAGUGCAUCGAUGAAUAUUACCACCAAAUAACCAUUUUCUUUGAACAUUUUCAUAUAUAAUUAUUUCUCUAAAAGCUCAAAUCACCUAUAUGUCCCAUUGGCUACCCAGGAAUUUUACCCCUACAAAUGGGUUGGAAUUCUCUAUCCAUACACAUAUAUCAAAAUUAAAAUGCCGCACAUCAAUGAAUAUUAACACCAAAUAGCCAUUUUCUUUGACCAUUUCCAAAUAGGGUUAUUGCUCUAAAAGCUCAAAUCACCCAUAUGUUCUAUUGGCUACCCCGGAGUUGGAAUUCUCUAUCCACACUAAAAGAAUUGUCAGGGAGAAAAAAACCGUGGCUCUAUCUAAUCUCAUUUGAUUAAAUGUCAAGAAGUAACAAGUGGGAGAGUGAUAGCUGUUAGCUACUGGGAUUUUGGACUUAGAUACUUGCCUGUUUAUAAAAUUAUGUAGCAUCAAAUGCAUAAACCAGGGACAUAUUAGAUAUUACAUUUACAAAUCUACCCAUACAUGUUCUAGAUGGCAAGUUGGCAACAAUAAUAAUAUUUUACCUAUUAAAAAAAUUAACUACUUUUGACCUUUCAACAACUCAAAACCAAGCUAAAUCUUUAAAAACUUGUUAAAUCUCUCAAAAAGAUCCAGGAUAGCAUCUCUAGACUCUAUUCCAACACAUGGAAAUAGAGUUCCAGAUAAAACAAAAGAAUUGACAAGUGAAUCAAAGUAUUGAACUUUAGCAGAUAGAUUGACAAAUUUGGUUAAUCUUAACUUGUCAUAUCUAAUUUUUCAGGGAAUGGUUCAACUGUUUUGUUCAAUCCAUACCAGGUCCAAAAUUCUUCUGAUAUUAGCAAUCGUGCACAAAAUCCACAAUAAUAUUAAUUCAUGAAAUCUCCAUGCCCUAACUUCCAACAAAGAUUUAUACAAAAGUAAAAGAUCAAAGUAUAUUAGGGUAAUUUCAAUAAUCUCUCUCACCAUUGGACCCAGAUCGCUUGCCUUUCUUGAUCUUCUCAAGCUGAAUCUGAGUCUCAGUGAAAAUCCGCAUCCUCUCCAUUUCCAAAUCUUUGGCGAAUUUCAUUCUCUGCUUCUCCAAAUCCAACAUCUGCCUCAACUUCUCGCUCUCCACUCUCUCAUAAACCUCUCCAAAUCUCUCAAUAGCUCGAGCCAAUCUCUUUAUCCCCUCUCCCUCCUCAUCUUCCUCGCUCUCCCUCUCCCUCUCCCCCUCCCUCUCCUCCUCCUCCUCCUCCUCCCCAACAAUCAUCAACGGAAACAUAUCCGGAGAUAUUUAAAUAAGCCUUUUAUAGUCAGGUUUAGCGAUUAGUAAUCCGCCAAAUGUCCUCUUCUUGCCUUCCAUGUUAAGAGUACGGACCUCGUCGACCUCGAAGCCAUAGAGAGACUCGAAGACGCGCUUGAUAUCGAUCUUGGAGGCGGAGGGGAUGGGCUUCAAGGCAACUUCUUUGAUGUUGUUGACGGUCGUAGGAAUUAGGAGCUUCGAUCGGGAGGAUUGCUAAGUGAAUUACUCUGCACCCCAGUCUGCUCGCCAUCUGUUUGUGCUUUUCUCCUUCUGGCUUCAGCUGUUCAAAUAAAAUCGAGACAAUGAAACUUCCAAACCCAUUAAUUUAUUAGAUGAUUAAAAGGUGAGAUUUUUAGAGGUUUUGUCUUGCUUUUAAAAUUCUUCUAUACAAAUAAAUUUUUCCUCUUUUAAAACGCUAGUUACAAGUUACUUUUAGGGUGGCAAUAAAAU
rnacentral:misc_RNA from 1 species